AGUGAACGCUGGCGGUAGGCCUAACACAUGCAAGUCGAACGGCAGCACAGUAAGAGCUUGCUCUUACGGGUGGCGAGUGGCGGACGGGUGAGGAAUACAUCGGAAUCUACUUUUUCGUGGGGGAUAACGUAGGGAAACUUACGCUAAUACCGCAUACGACCUACGGGUGAAAGCAGGGGAUCUUCGGACCUUGCGCGAUUGAAUGAGCCGAUGUCGGAUUAGCUAGUUGGCGGGGUAAAGGCCCACCAAGGCGACGAUCCGUAGCUGGUCUGAGAGGAUGGUCAGCCACACUGGAACUGAGACACGGUCCAGACUCCUACGGGAGGCAGCAGUGGGGAAUAUUGGACAAUGGGCGCAAGCCUGAUCCAGCCAUACCGCGUGGGUGAAGAAGGCCUUCGGGUUGUAAAGCCCUUUUGUUGGGAAAGAAGAGCAGCAGGUUAAUACCCCGCUGUUCUGACGGUACCCAAAGAAUAAGCACCGGCUAACUUCGUG
rnacentral:rRNA from 1 species